GACCUGUGUGAGAGUACUUGGAGCAGUGACUGCCAUCUGGUGGCAAGCUAAAAUCAUCGCUUUGUGUGACCUAAUUGUUGCUAAGAUGUCCACUCUUCACUCAUGUGGUCUGCAUUGGCAGCCGGGGACCAGGAGAGCCUGGAAGGUGUCUGAUGUAGGAGCCUAGUGAAAUAACUCUCCACUUCCACCUGAAUGGGUUGUUCAUCCCAGAUUCUGACCCAGGAUCCAGCCCCGGAAUGGCACCUCUGAAGGAAAGAUCUGAGUUGCUGUUGUGUUUUAGUCAAAGAUCUGCUGGUUACCUACCAGUGGGUAACCAAGACUGCGAAUAGGCACAUACCAAGAGGGGCAUAUGAUGACAUGGAGCCUGAAAUAAACUGCUCUGAAUUGUGUGACGGUUUUUCUGGUCAGGAGCUGGAACGUAGACCCCUUCAUGAUCUCUGCAGAACUACAAUUACCUCUUCCCACCACAGCAGUAAGACCAUUUCUUCAUUAUCUCCUGCCCUCUUGGGUAUUGUUUGGACUUUCCUAAGCUGUGGACUUCUCCUCAUCGCCUUCUUUCUUGGCUUCACAAUUCGCUGCAGGAAGAACAGGAUUGUGAAGAUGUCCAGUCCCAAUCUGAACAUUGUGACCUUAUUGGGCAGUUGUCUGACUUACAGUAGUGCUUACCUCUUUGGGAUUCACAAUCAAGGUGCUUUAGUGGGAAGUUCAAUGGAAACUCUCAUUCAGAUAAGACUCUCCAUGUUGUGCAUUGGAACCUCCCUGGUAUUUGGCCCCAUUCUUGGGAAGAGCUGGCGACUCUACAAGGUGUUUACCCAGAGGGUUCCGGACAAGAGAGUGAUAAUCAAAGACCUGCAGCUUCUGGGGUUGGUGGCAGCCCUGGUGAUAGCUGAUGUGAUCCUGCUCAUGACUUGGGUGCUGACUGAUCCCAUCCAGUGUCUCCAGAUUCUCAGUGUCAGUAUGACGGUGACAGGGAGAGACGUGUCCUGCUCUCUGACCAGCACACACUUCUGUGCUUCCCGGUACUCCGACGUCUGGAUUGCUCUCAUUUUGGGAUGCAAGGGUCUGCUGCUGCUAUAUGGGGCCUACCUGGCUGGCCUGACUGACCACGUCAGCUCUCCUCCUGUAAAUCAGUCUUUAACCAUCAUGGUUGGGGUCAACCUCGUGGUACUGGCUGCUGGGCUGCUUUUUGUGGUCACCAGAUACCUGUACUCCUGGCCCAACCUAGUUUUCGGACUCACGUCUGGAGGUAUCUUUGUUUGCACAACCACAAUCAACUGCUUCAUCUUUAUUCCCCAGCUGAAGCAAUGGAAGGCAUUUGAAGAUGAAAACCAAACAAUCAGACGCAUGGCCAAAUAUUUCAGCACUCCCAGCAAAAGCUUGCACACCCAGUAUGGUGAGGAGCAGAAUUGCCACAUUAGAGGAGAGAAAAACUCCAUGGAGAGACUCCUCACAGAAAAAAAUGCUGUGAUUGAAAGCCUGCAAGAACAAGUAAACAAUGCCAGAGAGAAGCUGGUGAGACUGAUGUCAGCAGGGUGCUCCUCUGACCUCCCAGAGGAGGCUGUGCCACCUGCCUCUUCCCACCAUAAGGACAUCCUGGCCGCAGCCUCUGCCCAUAGCCUGGCACCUCAAGGGCCUUCAGAAUGCCUCUCUGACUCUCAGAAUGAUACCAGUGUGGCCACCCAGGACCCCCAGAGUACCUCAGUGCUGGCCUCAAGUGUAGAAGGCCUCAAGGGGCCUGUGAAGGACACCAGCCCCUCCACAGGGCAGAAGCAGAAAAUUUCUGACCUGAAAGACCUUUCUAAUCCUUUACAUUUGGGCUGCAGCCAGAAGCCAUGGGCUGAGCAAAGCCAGACUGCAGAAAGAAGAGACCAGGUACCCAUGGCCCUCCACCAGUGUCUCAUGCAAAGUGAAGAAGGCUCUGUUCCCCAGAGACAUGGGCAGGUAGAGAACUCAGAAGGGCCCCCAGAGCAACUGUCAAGAGUCAAUUCAGUGAUCAGGGAGAAACUUCAGGAAGUCCUCCAAGAUCUGGGCCUGGGCCCUGGGGCUCCCCUCCCCUCUUCCUUGUCUUGUCCCCAGCAGCCCUGGAAAAGCAACGCUGCCCACAGCCCCCAGAAGGUGCCCCUCUCCAAGGAGCCAGGCUUCAGCCCCUCCAUGGUGAGGAGAAGGCGGGCGGCACAGCGGGCUUGCUCACACUUUCUAGGCGCUGUACCCUCCUAUGUGGGGCAUCGGGUAAACAGGGUCAUUACUGGGCAAAAUGUACAGGACAGGGACAGCCCCUGCCUGGACCCCCAAACUGCUGAUCCCAGGGUAGCACGACCCUCUUCUGGGAAUCCGUUAGUACUCCCUGCUCCUCGAGGCAAGCCAGGCGCCCUAGAGGGCCGCACACAGCGCCAGGCAGAGCCCCAGGGAGCCGAACGGAGCCUCACAUCCUUUCCCCAAAAGUCUUCCGGUUCUGGCCGGAAGCUGUGUCCCGCUACCCCACGCCCAUCCAAGGCCUCCCCCGACCUGCCUGGGCAGCGGCAGUCCCCAGGGUCCCCAGGCUGCCCCUCCUUGUCUUCUCCGAGUAGCUACCUUGACACCGAAUCCAGCAGCUCAGACGAGCUCUUCUGCCGCUGCCACCGGCCCUACUGCGAGAUUUGCUUCCAGAGCUCCUCUGACUCCAGUGACAGUGGCUCGUCAGAUACCGACCCUGAACCUGCAGGGGCGCUGGCUUCCUGGGAAAAGCUGUGGGCCCGCUCGAAGCCUAUCGUGAACUUCAAAGAUGAUUUGAAACCCACACUGGUGUGAUCAGCAGAGCAAGUCUGGACCUAGGGCUCUGUCGGGAUAAGCCAUAGCGUGGCCCGCUCUGGCCUUCAGGGAACAGACCAGUGCCUUUCCCGCGUUCGUGCGCUCAGUUGAGCACCAUGGUACCUUGAGCACUUCCUGAUAUACACAGAGGGAUAUUGCCUGUUUUGUUACUACCUCACAGCAUUCCUGUAAGAGACUCCAGCUGAGUGCCCAUAAAAGAUACCCGUUAGAUAAAACGGUGCUAAAUGAGCACAAAGGGUCUUUUGUUCUGGUCAGCCUGUAAUGUACAAAACUCUAUAUAUACCAGAUGGAUGGGCUGGGUGGACAGACAGAUGCAGAAGUGGAAAGAAAAUUUCUGCAGAACCAGAGUUGUGGACUGUAAUUCAUCAAAUUGGCUUUUUGGUGGCCAACCUGCUAAGAAAAUAUCUCCUAUGGACUUAGAUGGUCCACUCUCGGCAGGGGAUGGUUUGUUUCUGCUCAAGAUUGCGAACAGCACCACCUCUUCGUCCCAGCUUCCAGUCAGACUCAUUUCAGAGCCACCUGUACAUCUCUAUUUUGUGUCCAUCUCUUCACACCAUUGUGGCACCAUGAGACAGUCAGGCAGCCCAGAUCUCUCUCCUGGGCGCGGACGGCACCUGAGUCACCCCUCUUCUUUGACCCUGCCAGUGGUGCAGUUUUGCGGUAGUGAGAAGUAUGUAUUGGCAAUCCCUGUUUAGGUUGGAGAGGCCCUAUUGGUCAAGAGGGUGCCAACUGGGCCAACAUGACCACUGAUGGCUACACUGACCUGGAAAUAGAAAACAGGAAAAUAGAAAGGAAGAAAUGGGGGAGAAGAUAAGAAAACAAAAAAAAAAACAGAUUUUGCACAUUUACCUUGAGUCUAGCAUGGUACUUGGAAAUAUAAAGUAUCAGUAAUUGCUUAUGAUAAUCCCGUGAAGUAGGUACUCUCAUCCCCAUUUUACAGGUGGGGAUUAUGAGGCUUAAGAGGAAGGAGGUAGCUUCCACAGCAUCACACUGCUGGAGAGGGGCCCAUGUGGAAGCUGGGCACAGCUCACAGGAUUCCAAGUGCACACACUUCCCUGGGGCACAUCUCUUCACUUGUUCCUCUGGGAGUGGCAGGCCGAGUGUGGCAGGCUGGACAGCGAAAGUAGCAUGGGAAGCUGCAGCGUGCUCAACCCGCAGUCCAGGAUGACAACACUGGGCUCCUCGCCUCAGUAAGCAGGCCGCCACUGCCUUGGGAGCCCACCCACACCUCCCACAGCAGCCGGGGAGCUGGUGAGAGAUAAGUACCAGGGUCUUGUCGGCUGCCAGAGCCAACAGAGAAAACACAGCUGGGUCCACUUCACUUGUUGCUGAGCUAGUUGUUUACAGGCUGGUCCCUGCCCCUCACCUGUGUGUAUAUCCGCAUGUGUACACAUGCUUGUAUGCAGGAGCAUGGGCCUCAUUAGAUACGUCCAGAGGGGAGCAUUUGCCUCUAAUGUCUUGCAGAAGAUGUUAUCAUGGACUCUCGUUGGCUGCUGACACCUUGUGAGUCUCCAGACACUGGACCAGGAGGCCCUCCAGGCAACACAGCUUCUUCUGUUGUCCACUUUUAAAUACAAAUAUCAUAAUUUAUUCUGCGUGUGGGCUUGAAGUUUCUGCUUGUGCUGUUUGUAUGCUGUCCAAGUGAUGCCUUAAUAAAAGAAAUGGUUCUCAAGGCA
rnacentral:lncRNA from 1 species